rnacentral:rRNA from 1 species
AUUGAACGCUGGCGGCGUGCUUAACACAUGCAAGUCGAGCGGUAACAGGUGUAGCAAUACAUGCUGACGAGCGGCGAACGGGUGAGUAAUGCUUCGGAAUCUUCCUCGUAGUGGGGAAUAACCCGGGGAAACUCAGGCUACUACCGCAUACGAACUACGGUUGAAAGCAGGGGAUCGCAAGACCUUGCGCUAUGAGAUGAGCCGAAGUCGGAGUAGCUAGUUGGUGAGGUAAAGGCACACCAAGGCGACGAACCGUAGCUGGUCUGAGAGGACGACCAGCCACACUGGGACUGAGACACGGCCCAGACUCCUACGGGAGGCAGCAGUGGGGAAUAUUGGACAAUGGGGGCAACCCUGAUCCAGCGACGCCGCGUGUGUGAAGAAGGCCUGCGGGUUGUAAAGCACUUUUAGUGGGGAUGAAAAGCCAAGGGCUAAUACCCUUUGGUCUUGACCUAACCCAAAGAAAAAGCACCGGCUAACUCUGUGCCAGCAGCCGCCGUAA